rnacentral:rRNA from 1 species
GAUGAACGCUGGCGGCGUGCCUAAUACAUGCAAGUCGAGCGAACGGACGAGAAGCUUGCUUCUCUGAUGUUAGCGGCGGACGGGUGAGUAACACGUGGAUAACCUACCUAUAAGACUGGGAUAACUUCGGGAAACCGGAGCUAAUACCGGAUAAUAUUUUGAACCGCAUGGUUCAAAAGUGAAAGACGGUCUUGCUGUCACUUAUAGAUGGAUCCGCGCUGCAUUAGCUAGUUGGUAAGGUAACGGCUUACCAAGGCAACGAUGCAUAGCCGACCUGAGAGGGUGAGGGGCAACACGGGAACGGAGCCCGGUCCAAGACACAACGGGGAGGAGGAAGUGGGAAUUCUGCGGAAAGGGGAGAAAGCCUGAGGAAGAAACGCCGGGGGAGGAAGGAAGGUCUAGGGAUCGAAAAACUUUGUUAUAGGGAAAGAAAAUAUGUAAAAGAACCGGGGCAAAGCUGGAGGUUACAAAAACAAAAGGCCACGGAAAAAUAAGGG